AGCUGAGACCCCCGUUUGCACACAUUUAAAGACAGCGCCACGCCCAACAACGAGCCUUCAGCCGUCCAUCCCACUAGUUAAAGCUCUUUACGGGGGAGUGAGUGGGGGUGUGUGUUCUCAUGCAAUCAUCCAUCCCUGGAGGUAACAAAAGGUCAAGGACUCUCAUUUUUCAUGCCCUCCUAUCUCAAGCUGGCCUUCUUCAUCCUGUUCCUCAUGCUGAUUCCUGCCACGCAUGCUUAAAUUGCAUUUAGAUAGACAGAGAGACAUUUGACAUAGGCAGCGUGAAUCCCAAGACAACAAAAUGGGGGAAGAACUUCAUUCAUAUUUGUGUUUGUUUUGAGCGUCUGUAUUUUCCAACAGGCCACUUCUUGGUUCACAGAGAAUGAACGGACUUGUACUAUUUUGGUUUUAAACAGCGACAAGAAAAAAAAAAUCGGCAUUUUUAUAUGGAUUUGUACUACAAUAUUUAACCCCUAACAAAGUUUUGUAGGAAUCGUCAGUGGAGCUGUAUUGUAAUUUUGUUAUAUUUCAGUGCAGGCUUUUGCACCAUCUACAGCAUGGGUGUCCUAAGUGCUGCCUGGGGGCCAUUUGUGGCCCAAAGCUGUUUUUUUAAUUGCCUUUGGCAGAUUCUGAAAAUAAAUUAAACAGGAAAACUAAAAAAAACACUAAAAAAACAUGCAUCAUAGCGAUCAAAUGUAUCUUAUUUAUUAUGUAUUGUGUAAAACUAAGACAUGAAUAACAUCAAAUUAAAAGCACAAAAUGAAUGCCGACCCAACAUCCACCAGUUCAAGUUCCAGCCAAGUUUUUCCAGAGAGAUUAUUACAUCGCUGUUUGACGUGUGUGGUAAAAGGCAGUACGCUAGCAUGAAUUAACUUGAGACAAAUGUGCACAUUAGCACUCAAUAAGUCAUCAAAACUUACCUUUAUGCAUUCCCACAUAGUAUCAGCAUUUGACACCAAAUAUGAGGUGAAAGAAAAAUGGUAAAAAUACAGUAGUAGUCUAUCUGUGUGGCAUGAGAUAAAGUUAGCACACGCACAAUGGACAUGCAUCAAGUGAGACGGAUGUAACAGAGAGAAUCCGGCCACUUUUCAAAAUAAAACAUUAAAAAAAAUGAAAUAAUGGGAAUAAAUUUUUCUUUCAGAUGACCCAUGACCUAUAAGACAAAGCUUCAGAUGGAGGCUGCUUUUUUAAAAAAACAUAUUAAACUUCCAAACUAUAUUAAACUAGCACAUCGACAUGAGUUGGUUUACGAAAUAUACCUCAACGUGGCCCCCGCUAUUUUACAAAAUUUUACAAAACUAUUCAUUGCCUUUUUUUUAAAAACCCACAGAGAGCAUGCAAACUGCACACAGACAUGUCCAAUGGAGAUCCGAACAGAUUCAAUCUCUUCUAGUGCCUGAUUGCAGUCUUAUUAACAGUAGUAACAUCAAACAACCUCAAGACCCAAAUUUUGAGGUAAAGUUCUGAUUGUUAAGGACUAAAGGUUGUGGUGCUGCAAAAUGUAGAUUUGUGUCUACAUUUUGGCCAAAAGUCCACGUAAGGGUGGUAGCAUGGUUAGUGGAGGAGCGUCCGUGGAAUUAAAAGGCAAAGACAAAGCAUUAGGAGACAUCAGGACGAAGCAGCUGUGAGGAGGCCGGAGCACUUUUGUCCUUGUUAAAGACGCGGCCAUAUGGUGGACAUCUGAGCUGAUUUUUAUUGAUGCUCUUAUAGCUUGGCAAGCUAGAAUGGGGAGGGAGGAGGGCAGGGUUGGUGCCUGUUUACCUGGCAACCACCAAGCUGAUGGAGAAGAGCGUUCCACUUUGUUAAAAAAUGUUAAAAAAUCCCCAAGUUGGCACACCUUCAUAUGCGUGAUAUGUACAAGCCUGUAAUGGCGCCUUUUGUAGCCUGUCGGUAACAGCAUCACUUCCUGCCAUUAUGUGUCGUCAAACCGUGAGUAGUUUUACUUUGUUUUAGUUUUAUUCUACAGUAUUUACAAUGAAACCCACUUAUCUCAACGCCCCUGGGACCGGCUGACUGAUGUCAACGUAAGCGGUUGUCAACAUAAACCAUAACUACAAUUUAGGUUAAUAAUGCCAUGUUUUUAUUUUAAAGCUUACUUUGUACUGAACAGGAAGUCAGUGUGUGCCCGUUUUAAUGCAAUGCAACGAGACAGUAAUUAAGUUGCUGUUGUCGUUUCACGCUGCUUGGCGAUAAUGAUGGAGCUAACAAUGCUACAACACAUCGACAUAAACGGACCCAUUUUUCAUAGAAAUGACCCCUUUGGCUCUCAAAUUUUAUCAGCCAUGUCAUGUCGACAUUGACGUUCUAGUACGGCGGACUGGAACUUGAUGAUGAUGGUCCAAAUAGACAAGUUGUCCAUAUACUGUAAGUAAGAAUUUCCCCUUGUGGGCCUAAUAAAGGCAUAUCUUACGUUAAGCAGUACAGACAUCCACUGUAGUAGCUUCUUUUUAGCUUCUUGUAUGACCGUUAACAAAGAUUUUAUAACGGCAGAGGUGUGAACAUGCAACUAGUCAGUUGACUCGAUAUGUUUUUGCUAGAAAAUGACUUUGAAAUUACAACAACUUGAAAGUCAACCAGUCAACUAAUUGAGUUGAUUGUAAACACUGUAAAAGUGGUACAAUUCCAUCCAUCCAUCUGUUUUCUUCCGCUUAUCCAGGUCCAGCAGUCCCAGUAGGGAAGUCCAGACUUCCUGGUCAGCCACCUCUUCCAGUUCCACCAGCAGUACACCAAGGCUAGCUGUGCCCUGCCAUUGGUUGGCGACCAGUCCAGGGUGUACCCCGCCUCUCGCCCGAAGUCAGCUGGGAUAGGUUCCAGCAUACCCUAGUAAACGGCAUAGAAAAUGGAUGGAUGGAUGGAUGGAUGGAUGGCGUCUCCAAGGUGUAUUCAAAGUUUUAUUGUACUGUAGUAUCUAACUUCUUUUUACACUUGUAUGAUGGUGACCAUUUGAACCUGCAAUUAAUCAGCUGACUUUAUAUGUAAGGGGAUUGCUUUGAAAUUAGAACAACUUGAAAGUCAACCAAGAAAUCAUGUUGAUUCUAAACGCCGCAAAAGUGGUACAAUUUUGAAGUUCAACCAAGAUUUUCGUUGAAUAUAUGGAUCAAAAUUUGAACAAAACUUGGAGUUCAAACCGUCAUCAUGAGGCACACAAGACAUCAGGAGAUCUAAAGUACUUUCUAAAGUAGUUGUGUUUUUGGGCUUUUUUGACAGACCUUUGUGUCUUCCAGGCGUGUGUGGUUUUAUUUCAUUUUGCUUUUAUCAGGUAGUUGCUGGUAGCUUCUUUUGAAACUAACAAAGGUUUUAUGACGUUUGAAGAUCCACUAAUCAACGUACUGUAUAAGUAGGGGGUGGUUGCUUUGAAAUGACUUGGAUUAUGAAGUGAUGAACUGAGUAUGAGGCUUUUUUGACAACUUGGAAAUGAAGCAGCACCACAGGUUGUUGCUUUACAAAUUACAAUGUAUGUGUGACAAUGUGUCCGUGCAUGCAUGCAAAAAAUAAAAAGUCAAAGAUCACAGUA